rnacentral:rRNA from 1 species
UACGUAGGGGGCAAGCGUUGUCCGGAAUCAUUGGGCGUAAAGCGCGCGUAGGCGGCCCGGUAAGUCCGCUGUAAAAGUCCAGGGCUCAACCCUGGAAAGCCGGUGGAUACUGUCGGGCUAGAGUCCGGAAGAGGCGAGUGGAAUUCCUGGUGUAGCGGUGGAAUGCGCAGAUAUCAGGAGGAACACCAAUAGCGAAGGCAGCUCGCUGGGACGUUACUGACACUAAGGCGCGAAAGCGUGGGGAGCGAACAGG